ensembl:lncRNA LINC02612 long intergenic non-protein coding RNA 2612
AAGCAGGACCUGCUGAACCUGGGGCCCUAUAGGAGAGCACUGAUGGCCCACCCCUGAUUGUGGCCCUGGUCUUCAUGUCUGCAUCAGCCUCAGCCAUCUCAAGACCACAACAGGAACAUAGCCAAGUCAGAGAAGGAAGACCAAAAGCACCAGGGCCCUUCAUAUUAUUAAGCUGCUAAAUUAACUAAUCUUGGAAACUUCUAGACUCUACAAUUCUUGUUGUAUGAGAAAUCAUCUACUACAUAAAAUUCUGGUUUCAUACUUGGCCAUUCCUGCUUAACGGAGCUAACAAAGAAAUUUAAGAACUUCUAGCAACUAACCCUGGCAUGACCACCAGAAUCUGCAGGGCUGAGAGAAGAAAGAAAGGCAAAAGUGGAUGAAUGCAGCUGAAGAUGCUGUGGAACUCCUAUCACAUUCCAAGUGCUGUGUUGAUAUCUGGAGAUAUAGACAAGAUCGAAGCAGAUGCAGUCUUUCACAUGAAUAUUUGAAUCAGGCAGUAUGUUCCCCAAAUUAGCAAAGUAUCUCCCAGAUUUUUUCUUUGAUGAUAUAUUUGAAAUCCUAAUGCUGAAAGUUAAAUUAUCAGGGUUUUAAAACUAGAAGCAGUCAUUAUCAGAAUUUUAUAUACUAUUUAUUUUUAAGAACGUAAUUUGACUGUUUAAGUCUUAUUAUAAUUUUAAGUGAAGUACUUUGGGCAGUCAUAAAUAAAGUAAUGGGCAGGUAUUUAGUAUUCAUAUUGUGUGGAUUCAUAUCCAUACUCUGCCACUCAGUAUCUCUGGGAUUUUGAUGAAUGAUCAAACUCUCUGAGCCUCAGUUUUCUAAUCUGUAAAGCAGAAAUGAUAAUGGUAUGUAGUGAUAAUUAAACAAUUUACUAGUUGUAAGUGCUUAGAACAGUUCCUGGAAUAGAGAAAAUUUGCAGAGAGAUUUUUAUUGUUUACAAUUUAGUUAAUGGAAUGGCUUCAAUAAUACAGUAAAAUUAAGAUAUUCAAACAAGCAGGAUGCAGGUGAUGGGUAUUGGCCUCAGCUUUAGAGACCAGAGGUUAAAUCUCAGUGCUGCCUGCCACAAAACGAUCCAUGUAAGUCAAUAAACAAUGCUUUUUAAAAUAUUAUUAUAAA